CAGAUUGAACGCUGGCGGCAGGCCUAACACAUGCAAGUCGAGCGGUAGAGAGGUGCUUGCACCUCUUGAGAGCGGCGGACGGGUGAGUAAAGCCUAGGAAUCUGCCUGGUAGUGGGGGAUAACGCUCGGAAACGGCGCUAAUACCGCAUACGUCCUACGGGAGAAAGCAGGGGACCUUCGGGCCUUGCGCUAUCAGAUGAGCCUAGGUCGGAUUAGCUAGUUGGUGAGGUAAUGGC
rnacentral:rRNA from 1 species